GAACCUUCCUUUUAGUAGGUCAAAUGUGAGGCUUUCCCAAGGCUGGGGCCGCUAACCCAUGGCUGCUGGCCAACGCUUAUCAUUUGGAGUAUCUAGUGCUGUGCUAAGUACUACUGUGAUCAUUUACUUCUCCCAACAAUCCCUUUCCAAGUUGAGGAAAUGGGCACAGAAAAAGUAAUCCACUGCCUCACAUUUGCACAGCUGGCUGGUAAGAGGUGAAGGAACCCAAGGACUUGAGCCACCACCUGCUGUGCGUGCACUAACAGGAAGUUGAAAUCAGAUGCAGAAUUGAACCUUGAACCCAGGCACUCCAAUAGGCAAUGCAGAAAAUAGCUUCCAGAAAUCAGGGACCUUGUUUAACUGGUAUGCAAAGCUGUGCCAUUUUGCAAGGCCCAAAGCCGUCUCCCACUAGGUAUCUACUGAAUGUGCAAAUGAAAAAUCAGCAAACAGAACUCAGAGGCAAAAAGAUGACAAGAAAAAUGUCUUCGUGAGCAAACGUUUCUAAAGGAUCGGAUGGCUCAAAGGACACCAUGAAAAAAGUUUUUCCUGGAGUUAGAAAUUUAAAACAUUUCAAGCGGUGAUCUUCAAGUACAUAUUUAAUGGAUCGAUGGCUUCAGUCUAGCUUCCUUGGCCUAUAAUUCAGGUUCUGGACUUCUAACAGCAAUGCAAGGCCUUGCAGAUCACCUGCACAGAGCACUUAGGAGAGAAACUGGAGCCCCACAUCAGAGCUGCAGACUCUAAGAACCCGGAGAAGCACCAUGAGGCCACUCCGCCAUUCUGCCCUAAUUAUCCCAUCACUGGGACAGUCUCUCAGGCUAUAACAUUCGUGAAAGUAGAAAUGCCUUUCACAACAAUGACAGACCCAAUAAAAGGCCUCUUCCACAGGAAUAAAUAUAUAUUUAGUACCAUAUUAAACCAAUAUGUGAUUUGAGAUAGAAAAGAAUGACUAAUCUUGUAUGGAAAAAUGUUUGGCACCAACAUGCUAUCUGUUUGGCAAUUUUACAUGUCUGUAUUUCCUAAUUGGGUCCACAAUUCCUUUGCAUCGUGUGAGGCUAAUUCUUCUUUCAAGCUGAAAAUCAACCUUGCUUUACAAACAGUUGGAUGCUUUCACUGCAUUCAUGUUCAGAUAACCGGCUGUGUCAAGCAUAACUUUAAAAUAGCCAGUAAUGAAAUAUGUUAUAUGUAGUAGAUUUUCAAGUAUGGAUGCCAUAACAGAAUGCAAGUUCUUUAUAAGCUUUGUGGCAUCUGUCAUCACAGAUGCUUCAGGCAUUGGAGUUCACUUCAUCUACUCUUUUCCAAGGCUCCAGACAACUUCACUAAGAAUUUCCCGGGAACCCAUUCAACAAGCAGAUUCCUGAGCCCUGUUGGUGGAGAUUCUGUUCCUACAGAUCCAAGUGGAGGUCCAGAAGUCUGUAUUUGUUUAAAAGGCUUCUCACGUGUUACUGAGGCCUUUCUGGGUUAGAAAAUAGUGGUUUCAGUCCAGCUUCCAGCUCAUUCCCCCACCCCUUUAUCCACAUUCCUAACAAAUUAUUGCUCAGAUGUGCUCUGAGGCCUUCUAGAGACUCCAAAGCUUGUUGAUCUUCGUUUUUGGCAAAGUCUGAUUGUUGAAGGCUUUACUAACGUGCCAUGCUCUGCCAGCAACUUCCUCAAAUAGCUCUGGCUCUGCCCUCUGGCAUAACGAGGAUCAUUAUAUAUGAAAGUCCUUCAUAUAUUUUAAUAUGGCCUGCAGGUUCCUAAGACUCUUCUGCAACUAAACAGCAGGUUUCCACAAACAAUGGCUCACAGAUGUUUAGUGUCUGAGGUUUCAGGGUACCCUGACCACACCCAUGCACUCCUCAGAGCUUUCCCCACUACUACUGCUGGAAUGAGAGCUCCUUGUGAGCCCCUGGGCCCUGCAGAACAUGGAGCAAUAUAUGCCCAAGACUGUAUCAGUGGAAUAUCCCUUGUCCUGGCUGCUCUCAAAUGCACCUGCCACCUGACCCUGCAGUGUGAAGACAUUGUCAUCAGUGCAUGGUGAAAUAAGACAAAUAAACAGGAACAACCUAGCUGAGUUUCUUUAAUCUAAAAGAUUUAGUUCCUCUAUUAUUUCCUGCCCAGUUCCUUUUUAAAACAGCAUUUUUUUAACAAGUGAAACUAUAAAAUAAUACUUUUCCUGGUGUAUUUGUUUGCUUGUUAAAAUAAAAAAGGAGCAAUC